UGUUUCAGCAGAUGAAACUGUGGAGGUUGUCAAGCUGAUGAUAAAGGAUUAUUUCCACAUUCCUCUCUCUGAAGACAAACAAGGCAGGCGGUAUCUGGAGUUAAUGUAUGCCGGAGCUGCUCUAAAGGACAGUUGGAGUCUUGCUGAUGUUGGAAUAUCUUUCUGUUCAACUCUCAAAUGCUUUGUUAAGAUGAGUCAUAACAAAAGGUAUGAAAAGAAUCUGGUGAAGAAAGGUGUUCCAGUUCAGUGUCCAAGACUCCACGGAUAAUCUCUCCAGAAUGACUACCACACAAGAGGAGAAGUUUAUGGAGACAUCUCACUGGAAUUCAUUUGGUUCAACAAAAACAAAUAUUACUUCCCCUUUUGUUCACUCUGGAAUAGUUCAGCAAGCUUCUGCUUACUUAGGGCUGUAACUCCAAAACAGCAAAAUAUAAAAAAGCAGAACUUGAGAAAAAAUACAGCAGUACAUUCAAAACUUUCAUUAACUUGUUUUCUUUCGGUCAGUUCUGUUUAGCUUUUCCUUUCUUAUUGUUAAAGUACAUGUAUGAAUUUACAGUAAGUUUGCAUUUGUUUUUUGAAGGUAAGCAUGGAAUUAUUCUCAUGAGAUAGAACGUAUUUGUUUUUAUUGAAAAGUAAGAUACUUUGUGUAUAUCUCUUGGGUUGGUUUGUUUGCAUCUCAGUUUGUUUAUAAAGGAAAAAGUCUAAUUUUG
rnacentral:sRNA from 1 species